rnacentral:misc_RNA from 1 species
GGAGAAGAAGAAAUUGAAAGCUGAAGAAAAAAAAAUUAUAAUGCUCAAUUGAACAUCCUAAUGCAUGCAAAAUUGUUUUCUCCAGAGUAAAUUCCAUAAAUAAAAGAAAAGAAUACCCAACAAUAAAUAUCUAAAUUUAUUAUUAUUGCUAAUUUAAAUUUGCCAUGAUUUCUAAUUAAAGUUUAUUUGAUAAUGAAUAAUGAUUACUGUCAUAAUAAUUAUAAAACAAAAACAAAUGUUAUCGUGACAUUCUGCAAUAAAUAAUAAACCUUCUUGAGGCAAAUAAGAAGAUCCAUUCACCGACAACCCCUUGAUAGCAUGCAACAACCUAUAGAAGUUACGUACAUGAAUCAAGGCUAUAUGAAUAGCUCAGUGACAACAAAGGAGCAGGAGAAUCAAUACAAAACAAAGCAUAUCAAGAUCAAAAAACCUACAAUGUCCAGAACUUCAGAAGGACAGAGAUUCUUCUUUUAAAAUAAAUUUAAAUUGAGAGAGAGUUGAUCCACUUGCCCAGC